rnacentral:rRNA from 1 species
UGGGGAGCUCUCCCAUAUGGUCGACCUGCAGGCGGCCGCGAAUUCACUAGUGAUUCGUAUUACCGCGGCUGCUGGCACAGAGUUAGCCGGUGCUUAUUCUGUCGGUAACGUCAAAACCAUCACGUAUUAGGUAAUGGCCCUUCCUCCCAACUUAAAGUGCUUUACAAUCCGAAGACCUUCUUCACACACGCGGCAUGGCUGGAUCAGGCUUUCGCCCAUUGUCCAAUAUUCCCCACUGCUGCCUCCCGUAGGAGUCUGGACCGUGUCUCAGUUCCAGUGUGACUGAUCAUCCUCUCAGACCAGUUACGGAUCGUCGCCUUGGUGAGCCAUUACCUCACCAACUAGCUAAUCCGACCUAGGCUCAUCUGAUAGCGCAAGGCCCGAAGGUCCCCUGCUUUCUCCCGUAGGACGUAUGCGGUAUUAGCGUCCGUUUCCGAGCGUUAUCCCCCACUACCAGGCAGAUUCCUAGGCAUUACUCACCCGUCCGCCCUCUCAAGAGGUGCAAGCACCUCUCUACCGCUCGACUUGCAUGUGUUAGGCCUGCCGCCAGCGUUCAAUCUGAGCCAUGAUCAAACUCUAAUCGAAUUCCCGC